rnacentral:lncRNA from 1 species
AACAGAAUUCAGUUCGAUAUAGUCUGGGGCCCGUGCCCAUCACAGAAUCAGUUUGGGCCUUAGCCCAUUCAGAUACAGUCUCAGAAAUACAUUAGGGCCUUGGCCCACAUUAGAUACAGAAUGCAGAUACAGUAAAUAAGAAUCCUACCCACCAGCAUCUACACAGCAUCUUCGUCCAACCGUAUACACUAUGUGGGGAUUAAAUCAACCCACCCAUCCUUACACACCACGCUGUAUUGAAAU